rnacentral:rRNA from 1 species
UGCAGUCGAGCGGACCUUUCGGGGUCAGCGGCGGACGGGUGAGUAACGCGUGGGAAUAUGCCCUUCUCUACGGAAUAGUCCUGGGAAACUGGGGGUAAUACCGUAUACGCCCUUUGGGGGAAAGAUUUAUCGGGGAAGGAUUAGCCCGCGUUGGAUUAGGUAGUUGGUGGGGUAAUGGCCUACCAAGCCGACGAUCCAUAGCUGGUUUGAGAGGAUGAUCAGCCACACUGGGACUGAGACACGGCCCAGACUCCUACGGGAGGCAGCAGUGGGGAAUCUUAGACAAUGGGGGCAACCCUGAUCUAGCCAUGCCGCGUGAGUGAUGAAGGCCUUAGGGUUGUAAAGCUCUUUCAGCUGGGAAGAUAAUGACGGUACCAGCAGAGGAAGCCCCGGCUAACUCCGUGCCAGCAGCCGCGGUAAUACGGAGGGGGCUAGCGUUGUUCGGAAUUACUGGGCGUAAAGCGCACGUAGGCGGAUCGGAAAGUUGGGGGUGAAAUCCCGGGGCUCAACCUCGGAACUGCCUUCAAAACUACUGGUCUUGAGUUCGAGAGAGGUGAGUGGAAUUCCGAGUGUAGAGGUGAAAUUCGCACAUAUUCGGAGGAACA